UAAUCAACAAAGAUAACGGAUACAAGCUGAAAGUAACGGCCCACUAGGCCUCACACAUGAAAGACGUAUGCGUCAAAAUAAAUGAGAACUUUGGACCGAAAGAAACGGGUGCCUUGAAAAUGAAACUUGGUUCGUUUGAUUAAACCAAUGAACUACGUAAAUAAGGUUUCGGGGAUGAAACCUCUUUAAGGGGGGUAGACAUGUAACACCCCGAAAACAAGUUUGAUAGUCAAACCACAUUAAUAUUAAUGAACGGGUAAAAUACCGUUAGUGAAAAAAUUAACCAGGUGAAUAUUAGGAUUUAAACAAAUAAUCCUAAUAUUAAUUAAAAGGAGAAUAAAUGCUUUAAAAAAAAGUAAGUUUAUAAGAAGCCCGAGUUAACUGAAGUUAAAAUAAAACGGGUUAUAACUCUCGAGACCCACUAAGUAACUCGGAAUAUCAACCUAGUUAGUUAAGUGUUUUAAAAUAAUGAAGGAACUUGAUAUAGUAACCUUUUUAUAACUUUUAGAAACUAGAGGGACUAAAAGGGUUAAGUGAGAAAAUAAUUAUUAUUAAAACAAAAAUUAAAAACCCAAAACACACACUUGGUGUGUGUUCUGGUCGUAGAUUACACAGGGGGCGAACAAGCUUUCUUCAACCAAACCCUAACUAGCUAAAAAUCAAGCAAUUGGAAGGCCAAAUCAGUCCCAAAUCGAAAUCCAAGCUUAUUUUAGUGAUCACCUAAGCGAAGGGAUCACAAGUUUGACUCUGACAAGCUUGGUAGGAGCUUGGAAAUGAACGGGUCAAAUGGAUACAAGUUCAAGUAUGAAGCUCGCAAGGAUGCAAGGAGUGAACCGGAAGUGGAUAAUUGCGUCGCUAUAAAGUAGCGGCUAAUAAAAGCAAGGUAUAAAACGAGUUUAUAUGUUGACCCGAGCCAGGUACGCAUAAACAAGCUUUUAGUUAAACAUGCGAUUCUUGGUCAAUUAAUUAGCGAAAGUCCUUCAUUGUAAAAUGAAGGAUUAAAAUUGACCAAAAAGCCCUCGUUGGGUAAACCGGGCAAACGAACCCUAGAGAUUGUUUAGGAACUUGUAUUAUGAUUAUGUAACCCUUUUGAUACGUAUAAGAAUAUAGGCAUAAACUUUCGUGGGUCAAAUGCCUAAGAAUAGGUCUUUUUAGUAAAAUGACUAACCGAAAAGUAAU